rnacentral:lncRNA from 1 species
GUGUGACAUUCUUGGUAGACUAGUGUAGCUCACUCUUUCAUUAACUAUUUCAGAUCAAGAAAACAAAGAUCAAUAUCCCGAUCUACAAGAAGGUUGCGAAUAGGAUGUUCAGUUGUUUACUUUCAUCUAUUUCUUUAAUUAUUCGUUAUUAUUUUAGAAUGGUCAUUCCCGUAUACUUAUUGGGUAUUCUGAAUUAUUGUAUAAGGAAUGUAAACCCUAAC